AUGCAAGUCGAACGAUCCCUUCGGGGAUAGUGGCGCACGGGUGCGUAACGCGUGGGAAUCUGCCCUUGGGUUCGGAAUAACUUCUGGAAACGGAAGCUAAUACCGGAUGAUGACGUAAGUCCAAAGAUUUAUCGCCCAAGGAUGAGCCCGCGUAGGAUUAGCUAGUUGGUGAGGUAAAGGCUCACCAAGGCGACGAUCCUUAGCUGGUCUGAGAGGAUGAUCAGCCACACUGGGACUGAGACACGGCCCAGACUCCUACGGGAGGCAGCAGUAGGGAAUAUUGGACAAUGGGGGAAACCCUGAUCCAGCAAUGCCGCGUGAGUGAUGAAGGCCUUAGGGUUGUAAAGCUCUUUUACCCGGGAUGAUAAUGACAGUACCGGGAGAAUAAGCUCCGGCUAACUCCGUGCCAGCAGCCGCGGUAAUACGGAGGGAGCUAGCGUUGUUCGGAAUUACUGGGCGUAAAGCGCACGUAGGCGGCUAUUCAAGUCAGAGGUGAAAGCCCGGGGCUCAACCCCGGAACUGCCUUUGAAACUAGAUAGCUUGAAUCCAGGAGAGGUGAGUGGAUUCCGAGUGUAGAGGUGAAAUUCGUAGAUAUUCGGAAGAACACCAGUGGCGAAGGCGGCUCACUGGACUGGU
rnacentral:rRNA from 1 species